rnacentral:tRNA from 1 species
UAGCCUAGUGGUAAGGCUUUGGAUUGCCAAUCCGGAGAAGGUGGGUUCGAUUCCCGU